rnacentral:rRNA from 1 species
AUACGUAGGGUGCGAGCGUUGUCCGGAAUUACUGGGCGUAAAGAGCUCGUAGGUGGUUUGUCGCGUCGUCUGUGAAAUUCCGGGGCUUAACUCCGGGCGUGCAGGCGAUACGGGCAUAACUUGAGUACUGUAGGGGAGACUGGAAUUCCUGGUGUAUCGGUGAAAUGCGCAGAUAUCAGGAGGAACACCGGUGGCGAAGGGGGGUCUCUGGGCAGUAACUGACGCUGAGGAGCGAAAGCAUGGGUAGCGAACAGGAUUAGAUACCCUGGUAGUCCAUGCCGUAAACGGUGGGCGCUAGGUGUAGGGGUCUUCCACGACUUCUGUGCCGUAGCUAACGCAUUAAGCGCCCCGCCUGGGGAGUACGGCCGCAAGGCUAAAACUCAAAGGAAUUGACGGGG